rnacentral:rRNA from 1 species
UACGGAGGGGGCUAGCGUUAUCCGGAAUCAUUGGGUUUAAAGGGUGCGUAGGCUGGUAUUUAAGUCAGUGGUGAAAUUUUCGUGCUUAACAUGAGAGCUGCCAUUGAUACUGGGUACCUAGAGUGUAUUUGAUGUGGGCGGAAUGUGUUGUGUAGCGGUGAAAUGCUUAGAUAUGACACAGAACACCGAUAGCGAAGGCAGCUCACAAAGUUACAACUGACGCUGAUGCACGAAAGCGUGGGGAUCAAACAGG